rnacentral:lncRNA from 1 species
UCGGGUGUCAAAUAGGAAGAAUAUUUAAGAGAUGAUUUUUUUUUUAAUUACGCGUCUUCUCUCAUAGUUCAGAGCCAGCAGCUUCUUUUAACCUUUUUUCCCCUCACGAUCAUUGAGCAUUUGCUGGAUCUGGUACUCACGUGUGAACUCCUCUAACAGGCCACACAAGACUGCCUGGGUAUAUAGUGCGGGCCCCAUGGAAUAAGUUGGAAACGUCCUUCCCAGGGAGAUUUCUCAAGUCCUGUGGAAGCAUGUUUCAGUCAGACGGAGUCAGUGCUCUGCUCUGCUCAACCAGUCACAAGAGAAGAGAAUCGGUCACUUCUUUCCAAAUAUGGCUUUUUACAUAUUCCAAAGACAGCUCACUGCUUGAUGCUGGCCUGAAGACAGUGUUACUUCGUUACCCAACUCAUGACUGACUCUCAGCUAAUCAAGCCAAUCGUAGAUACCUGGGUGAGCCCAGCUGAUAUUAGCAGAGCCUAGCUUGGGUGGACAGGAUAGCCCCUAAGCCCAGCAAACACUAUAGAUCCUCAAAUUUGUGAGCUAAAAAAGAAUUUUGUUUUUGGUGGGGGUGGUAUUUGUGUGGGGUUUUUCUUUGUAAGCCAUUUGGCUUUGGGGUGGCUUGUUAUAUAUCAAAAGCCUUCUAAUGCUGGUAUUUCCCAAGGGUUCCCCCCCGCAGACCCUGGUACUACUGGUGUGAGCAUGUGUGUUAUGGGUUUUAGGGUCAGUUUUCUUACACUGAGAGAUCUCAACUAGGACAUGACAUUGAUUACCAGUUUUGGAUUUUUGUGCCUGGAAAGCACAAGCGUUGGAGUUAAUUAAAUGUGUGUGCAUGCAUGCAUGUGCACAUGUGUGUGUGUGUGUACACACAUAUAUAAUAAAAAUAUUAUUCACUCAAAUGAAACUCAUAGUGCCUUCUCGCAAUAAAAGUGUGUUUCUCUCCCA